rnacentral:rRNA from 1 species
GACGAACGCUGGCGGCGUGCUUAACACAUGCCAGUCGAACGGAAAGGCCCUGCUUUUGUGGGGUGCUCGAGUGGCGAACGGGUGAGUAACACGUGAGUAACCUGCCCUUGACUUUGGGAUAACUUCAGUAAACUGGGGCUAAUACCGGAUAGGAGCUCCUGCUGCAUGGUGGGGGUUGGAAAGUUUCGGCGGUUGGGGAUGGACUCGCGGCUUAUCAGCUUGUUGGUGGGGUAGUGGCUUACCAAGGCUUUGACGGGUAGCCGGCCUGAGAGGGUGACCGGCCACAUUGGGACUGAGAUACGGCCCAGACUCCUACGGGAGGCAGCAGUGGGGAAUAUUGCACAAUGGGCGGAAGCCUGAUGCAGCAACGCCGCGUGCGGGAUGACGGCCUUCGGGUUGUAAACCGCUUUCGCCUGUGACGAAGCGUGAGUGACGGUAAUGGGUAAAGAAGCACCGGCUAACUACGUG